GGUCCCCAAGCCCCCCGCAAAGGACGUGUUGAUCUUGGAGCAAGAGAGCGAAGUCCUCGAGCCAUCAGUUGAGCAGGACGCAGAGAGCCCCGGGCUGUCCACAGCUGCGGGCUUUGAGAGUCCUGAGCCAGGCAGAGACGACCCUGGGCCGUCCGAAGCGCAAAGGGCGGAGGUCCAGGGGCAGCGUCCCUCUCCAGGCCCUAAGACCUCCUCCUCCAGGUCAGACUCGGAAGCCCCCCACCCGCGUUUUCCGCCGUGCCCCGAGGCUCCCCAGCGUCCCCCGGAGGAGCGGUUCAUGGAGACGCCCAUCGAGCGCGAAAUCCGCCGCAGCUGCGAACGCGAGGAGAGCCUGCGCCGGAGCCGGGGCCUGAGCCCGGGCCGCGCAGGCCGUGAACUCGUCGAGCUGCGCGUGCGGCCGGUGCUCAACCUGCCAGGUCCUGGCCCCGCGCUCCCGCGCGCCCUGGAGCGGGCGCGGGCGGGCGCGCAGAUGCAGCGGGACAUCGAGCGAGAGGCCCACCGGCAGGCGGCGCUGGCGCGCCCCGCGGCCCCCGAGCCGCGCGCCCGGUCGCCGCCGCAGCCGCUGGGCGAACUCAAGCGCUUCUUCGAGGCCGCGGCGGGGAGCGGCUCCUCGUUGGGGGCGGGGGACGGCGCGGGCCCGCAGAGGCUGCCAGAGCCUGGGGGACGGCCGCGCUCGGCCGUGCAAGGCGGGUGCCCGGUGCUGGGCAGCGCCCCGCCGCCUUUCACUCCGUCACUGCUGGAGCAGGAGGUGCGCGCGGUGCGCGAGCGCGAGCAGGAGCUGCAGCGCCAGCGGCGCAGCGUCUAUGGCACCGCGGAGUUCAAGGAGCCUACGCCGAGCCUCACCGGGGUGCGGCUGGCCUCUUUUAUCCUGGCUGCCGCCAGCUGGUGAGCUGAGCGCCCCUUCCCCCGCAGCGAGCAGGGGCGACGGAAAGUUGGCGGUGAUCUGGCCCCCCCGCAGAAAGGUCUCAGAGAACGGCCUGGAGCAGGAGGAGCGCAAACCUUGAGGUUUGAAAAGGCUGGGACCCCCGGCCGGAAGUAACAUACGCGUCAGAGGAACAGGGCGGGGGGCGUCUAGCAGAAGGCCUGGAGAAGGGUCGGCUCUCUGCAUUGGGGAAGAUGAAAUCGACUUCCCUUUGUGAAAUUAACCAGUCCCCUCUAUAAAACUUACAGUCCCCCAUUGGGAAACUGACCACCACCCACAGCUCCGCCAGUGAAACUGCCCAGCCCUUCUCUGCCUAAUUGCAAACUGAACUACCCUCUCCCUUGACUGUUAAGAGGGCCGGAGUUACCGCCUCGAUUGCCCCACUCCCCCCACCCCCAAUAAAGCCUCUUCUUUCAGGGCA